rnacentral:rRNA from 1 species
UACGUAGGGAGCGAGCGUUGUCCGGAUUUACUGGGUGUAAAGGGUGCGUAGGCGGUUUUGCAAGUCAGAAGUGAAAUCCAUGGGCUUAACCCAUGAACUGCUUUUGAAACUGCAGGACUUGAGUGAAGUAGAGGUAGGCGGAAUUCCCGGUGUAGCGGUGAAAUGCGUAGAGAUCGGGAGGAACACCAGUGGCGAAGGCGGCCUACUGGGCUUUAACUGACGCUGAGGCACGAAAGCGUGGGUAGCAA